AACGAACGCUGGCGGCAGGCCUAACACAUGCAAGUCGAGCGAGCCCUUCGGGGCUAGCGGCGGACGGGUGAGUAACGCGUGGGAACGUGCCCUUCUCUACGGAAUAGCCUCGGGAAACUGAGAGUAAUACCGUAUAAGCCCUUCGGGGGAAAGAUUUAUCGGGGAAGGAUCGGCCCGCGUUGGAUUAGGUAGUUGGUGGGGUAAUGGCCUACCAAGCCGACGAUCCAUAGCUGGUUUGAGAGGAUGAUCAGCCACACUGGGACUGAGACACGGCCCAGACUCCUACGGGAGGCAGCAGUGGGGAAUCUUAGACAAUGGGGGAAACCCUGAUCUAGCCAUGCCGCGUGAGUGACGAAGGCCUUAGGGUCGUAAAGCUCUUUCGCUGGGGAAGAUAAUGACGGUACCCAGUAAAGAAACCCCGGCUAACUCCGUGCCAGCCGCCGCCGUAACAC
rnacentral:rRNA from 1 species